GGGUCGUUAGCUCAGCCGGUAGAGCAGCGGACUUUUAAUCCGUAGGUCGGGAGUUCGAAUCUCCCACGACCCACCA
rnacentral:tRNA from 1 species